UAGGAACUGGCCGGAUAGGCUGGGCUCUGCCAGGUCAGUGAAGAAGGAAGUGCUGCCAGGGGCCAGAGGAAGGGGAAACCAAGGCUGUUCCUCAGCCCUCAGUGCCUUAGAACGCAGCUGCUAACCCUGCCUGCCCCAGGCCCUGCAUCCAAAGGCUUCUCCAGGUGAUCCACUUCCUCCCUCCCACUGGCAGGAUGGUGGCUUCCUAUGGUCACUCUCCACCACCUGUGUCGCAGCCAUUCUGCUUUACUCAGAGCAGCUGCUGUCUCCCUCGCAGGUUCACGAGCAGGGGGAGCUGGAGGUGAUCGGCGGAAAUGACAGAGGAUCUCCUGGCUCAAAGAGGGUCCUGCCGCACAGAACUGUGGAAAGAGACAGGUUUCAAGCAGAGAGGCUGCACACUGUGAGGCAGAGAAGGCGUCAAGGAAGGAACAAGACACCUCUGGGAGGCCGAGGUAUUCUAAACUCUGGGGUCCAGAAGGGCGUCUUCCAGCGCAGAGGUCCUGUGACACAGCCACCUAGUACGUCAAAAGAAGUCCUCAGAGAAUAUUUUCCGAAUAAAUAAAUGAGUUUAGACUUGCA